rnacentral:lncRNA from 1 species
UGAACGGGGCAUCUUUGCAUUCCUCCUAGCUACACGAAUAGGAAAAGUUUCAGUUGUUAUCGAAGCAGGUAAUCUCUCCUGCCCUGCUUGUUGAGACUCGUCUCCAUCCUAUCUGCUCUUGUGCUAAUGGUGAAAAUAUGAUUAUAAUUGGAUAAAAAUCAAGAAUAAUAGGAUGCUUAAGCCAAUAAGAUAGAUAAAGCAUACCCCUACUACUCGUAAAAAAACUAUGUCAC